rnacentral:rRNA from 1 species
AACGUAGGAUGCAAGCGUUAUCCGGAGUGACUGGGCGUAAAGAGCGUGUAGGCGGUUGAGUAAGUUGGGUGUGAAAGCGCCCGGCUAAACUGGGCGAGGACAGGCAAGACUGCUGAGCUAGAGGCCGAUAGAGGGGUGCGGAAUUCCGGGUGUAGCGGUGAAAUGUGUAGAGAACCGGAGGAACACCAGUGGUGCAGACGGCGCCCUGGAUCGGACCUGACGCUGAGACGCGAAAGCGUGGGGAGCGAACGGG